CACGCUCAAAACCUGCUCCGCGGUGUACUCGUUCGAAAAAUAAUGCGUGUCGAUCAAUGCGAUAGUUUCCGAAAUUACCGGUUACCGAAAAAAUACCAUUUCACACGCGCACCGAUGUACAGUGAGUCCUCGUUUAACGGCACCUCAUUCAGCGUAGUCUCGCCGUUGCGCCGUACAAUUUACGUCCUUUAUGCAUAUUAAAGUCGUAUAGGCAAUUUGUAAAUAAAUUUCCCGCGACGUAAGAAAACUAUACCGACGAAGUGAUUUCUUCUCGUGAGGAAGGACCGAGUAAUUGGAGAUUUAUUAGAAUCGAAUCGAAAUCGACAUUACGACAAAGUUCAGAAGGAAGAAAGUGAAAAGCCAAUUGAAAAAGCACUCACGGUAAAAGGGUCAUCUAAAGCUUUUCGAUUAAUCGAACAAGGCAUUCAAAUUAUAAAUGAUAAAGAUUUAAACCAUGGAAGAAUUUCGCACGGGUUGAGCGAAAUGAUUUGAACAGCUUAACG